AAGACCUUGCGCUUUUGGAGCGGCCGAUGUCUGAUUAGCUAGUUGGUGAGGUAAAGGCUUACCAAGGCGUCGAUCAGUAGCUGGUCUGAGAGGACGACCAGCCACACUGGGACUGAGACACGGCCCAGACUCCUACGGGAGGCAGCAGUGGGGAAUUUUGGACAAUGGGGGAAACCCUGAUCCAGCCAUGCCGCGUGAGUGAAGAAGGCCUUCGGGUUGUAAAGCUCUUUCAGCCGGAACGAAACGGUCACGGCUAAUAUCCGUGACAACUGACGGUACCGGAAGAAGAAGCACCGGCUAACUACGUGCCAGCAGCCGCGGUAAUACGUAGGGUGCGAGCGUUAAUCGGAAUUACUGGGCGUAAAGCGUGCGCAGGCGGUUUUGUAAGUCAGAUGUGAAAUCCCCGGGCUUAACCUGGGAACU
rnacentral:rRNA from 1 species